GUGAGAUUCGUAUCAUACGAGUUUGGGAUUACCCCGAAUGGCGAAUCUACACCUUGCUUCCAUUGCAACGGGAGUAUAUUUUCAUUGCCCCUAUAUAAACUAGGAUGUCUAUUUUUAACAAAUAUUAUCAUCUCACUAUGAUUAAGACGAACGUGUUUUACACGUACACUUUAUUACUUGUACAUUAUUUGUAUGUAUUUUCAUGCUGCCCCUUGAGGGCCCUAGUUAGUUUGUACCAGUGCAUUUCCGAAUUUGAAUAGUUCGAGUUUUGAUUACUGAGGAAGUAGUCGUAAUAUACCACAGACGCUUGUGUUAUAAACUUCACAAGCUAUGCUAUAGAUUGAUACCAUAGCAUGCGAGGUUUUUGAGAUAAGUACUUGUGUAUUAUAUAUAUAUAUCCAAUAAUAAAAGUCAAGAAACACAAAACUCGAAUAACAUUUCACUGUAUCAAAUACCGAAUUCUUUAUAUAUAUAUAUAUAUAAAUAUACACACACAUGAACCGUAAGUUUGUAAUAGCCAUGAUUGUAGGGGAUCUAUACUAGGCCUAUACCAUCCCCAAAUAAAAUGUUGUGGGGUUUUUUUAAAAAUUAUUUAGGGGGUAGCAUAGUACAAGUUACCGGUUCCUGCGAUAUCUAUACCCAGCCUUAAUGAACAUCAAAUGCAUUUAUGUGUGUGUACAUAUAUGUAGAUAUACACAAACACACCGUGUAUAUGUCGCUGUUAGAAUUUAUUUUUUUUAUUUACAAAAAUGGAAUUUAAUGUGCAUUUAUGAAUAUCUACAUGUGCAUCUGAAGAAUGCCAGAUUAUACCUUAAAAAAUAUGAGAUUUUAAAAAAUGAUUUUACGAAAUAAGUAUCAUUUAAUUGAAAUCAAAAUUUCAAAUCCAUUUUAAACUCUUGUAAAUGGCUACAUAUACUUAUAACACACAUGAAUUUUUCACUUAUGUGCUAUACAGCUAAUAUUUUCAGGAGAUGUAUUGUACCGAACCUUAUUAUGGGAAAGGAAUGAUUUCUCAUUCCCAAUAAAAUAUGGUUUUCAGGAUAUUUUACAGAUAAUUGUGUAGUCAUACUUUAUGAGUUUAUCAUUUGUUCUUUUCAUUCUAAAUUAAAUUUGAUUACAUUCUAUUAAAAAUAUAUGAUAUGGUAAUAUUUACUAAAAUGAUCCAUUAAAUGGACAGUCUAUAGAUUUUUUAAAGAACAUUUCUUUCUAUUUCACCUUUGAAAUAAUACAAUGUAUGUGUAUUAUGUAGACAAUCUGAAACCAGUCAAAGGGGGAUUGAAGAGGUGAAGAAGCAGUAUUCAAACCUAAAACAAAGAGCUCACCUGGCCUGGAUUUCUCGAAAAAAUCUCAAAUCUUAAACUCAGUUUCAACUUAAGAUUGAGUUUUUGUCUUAGUUGAGAUUUUGCUCAAAUUGCAUUUCUCAAAACGAUCUUAGUAAAAUCUCAGCUGAGUUAAUCUUAUUGCUCAGCUGAGUUUAUUCCUCACGACACUAAGCGGCCCGUCUGUCAAAAAACGUGACAUCCGCACAGCUGUAUCUUUCGUAAACAAAUCGUCUGCUUGUCUUCUGCCGCGUAUAACGUCAAGAUGGAGGACUUUCCUAAAGCACGGAAACCAAAUUGGACCGAGAGAGAGCGUUUGGCCUUGGUGGAGGCGGUCCGAUGCAGAGAGGACCGCCUUUUCGGUAAAAUGAAGGGGGCAGGGGGAGUGAAGAACUCUCGUGUGAAGGAAUCGGCGUGGGAGGAAGUCGCUCAAUUCGUCAAUGCGUAAGUACUGUGUUAUAUUUUUUUCCUAUCAACAAAAUCUGUGUACCUUUUAUUGAAAAGAAGUUCAUCCCCGGAACAUUGCACAAACGCAUUAUGUUUUAAAUAAAUAAUUAAUUUAAUCGGAUGAAAUUAAUCUUAAUCAAAAUCUAAAAUUUCUUAACUAUUUUUGACAUCCAUAUAUUUAUUAUCAAAGUCGAGUGUUUGUUGAUACAUGCUAUUGGGGCGAAUUGUAUUGGCACCGAUCUGCUCAUUUUGAUUACCGGAAGCGAGACCAUCGUAUAAUACGAGUUUGGGAUUACUCCGAAUGGCGAAUCUACACCUUGCUUCGAUUGCAACGGGAGUAUAUUUUCAUUGCCCCUAUAUAAACUCGAUAUCUAUUUUUAACAAAUAUUAUCAUCUCACUAUGAUUAAGACGAACGUGUUUUACGCAUACACUUUAUUACUUGUACAUUAUUUGUAUGUAUUUUCAUGCUGCCCCUUGAGGGCCCUUGGUUGGAAAUAAAUAUAGUUAGUUUGUACCAGUGCAAUUCCGAAUUUGAAUAGUUCGAGUUUUGAUUACUGAGGAAGUAGUCGUAAUAUACCACAGACGCUUGUGUUAUAAACUUCACAAGCUAUGCUAUAGAUUGAUACCAUAGCAUGCGAGGUUUUUGAGAUAAGUACUUGUGUAUUAUAUAUAGAUUACACACAUGAACCGUUAAUUUUGUAAUAGUCAUGAUUGUAGGGGAUCUAUACUAGGCCUAUCCCAUCCCCAAAUAAAAUGUUGUGGGGUUUUUUUUUUAAUUAUUUAGGGGGUAGCAUAGUAUAAGUUACCGGUUCCUGCGAUAUCUAUACCCAGCCUUAAUGAACAUCAAAUGCAUUUAUGUGUGUGUACAUAUAUGCAGAUAUACACAAACACGCCGUGUAUAUGUCGCUCUUAGAAUUUUUUUUUUAUUUACAGAAAUGGAAUUUAAUGUGCAUUUAUGAAUAUCUACAUGUGCAUCUGAAGAAUGUCAGAUUAUACCUUAAAAAAUAUCAGAUUUUAAAAAAUGAUUUUACGAAAUAACUAUCAUUUAAUUGAAAUCAAAAUUUCAAAUCCAUUUUAAACUCUUGUAAAUGGCUACAUAUACUUAUAACACACCUGAAUUAUUCACUUAUGUGCUAUACAGCUAAUAUUUUCUGGAGAUGUAUUGUACCGAACCUUAUUAUGGUAAAGGAAUGAUUUAUCAUUCCCAAUAAAAUAUGGUUUUCAGGAUAUUUUACAGAUAAUUGUGUAGUCAUACUUUAUGAGUUUAUCAUUUGUUCUUUUCAUUCUAAAUUAAAUUUGAUUACAUUCUAUUAAAAAUAUAUGAUAUGGUAAUAUUUACUAAAAUGAUCCAUUAAAUGGACAGUCUAUAGAUUUUUUAAAGAGCGUUUCUUUCUAUUUCACCUUUGAAAUAAUACAAUGUAUACAUGUGUAUUAUGUAGACAAUCUGAAACUAGUCAGAGGGGGAUUGAAGAGGUGAAGAAGCAGUAUUCAAACCUAAAACAAAGAGUGAUACUUUACUCUGUGCCAAAUGAGGUGCCACAGCAACAUACUUACUCAUCUGAGAUUGCCUCCACAUCCAGUUCCAGUGCAACAGUGAACUGUCAGGUCAUUGACUUGGGUCCAACACCAUCCACAUCAAAGAGACGGAAGACGAUGGAGGAAGAAGAGAUUUUAACCCUUCGGGCAGAAAGGGAGGCUUACCAAACAAAGACAGCAUAUUAUAAAAUGAAAAUGAAAAUUUUGCAAUCUAAAAUGGACAAGGCAUGUUCAGAGCAGUAGGCAUUUUGUUUUUACUCUGUUUCUCCCUCUUCUUUUUCUCCCCAAUACUUUUUUGUAUGGGAGUGUUCUCAGAAAGUGCUCAAGCACACGAAGUAGUUAAAAUGUAUUACACGUCUUUUGUAAAUCUUCUGAAGAACAACUAUUACCAUUUUCAAUCAAAAGUGACAUAAAUCAUCCUACAUUGAAGGCAAAAAUAGGUUAGGAUCAUUUGAAAAUCUUCUCAAGAACCACUGGCCCAGAAAAGUUGAAAUUUUUAUGAAUGCUUCCUAACAUAGUGUAGAUUCGAGUUCGUUCAGAUCAUGGUAUUUUGGGUAGUGUAGGACCAAAAUAGUGUAUCAAAGUUUUUCAAUGGUGAUGUAUAGGAUUACUCUUAUAAAAAUCUUCUCAAGAACAACAGGGCCACUAAUCGUAUUGAUAUGUGACAAGACCUGUCUUUUGGUACCAAAGCUUGUGAGUGAUGUGGCCUUUGGGCAUCUUGUUCAAUGAAAUAUCUUUUGAAAGUUAUAUCUUGGGAUAUAUAUUAACAGUUUCAAUUGAUUUACAUGGUCAAAAUGAUCAAUCUGUAUGCACAUGUGCUUUGCUAUGAUUGGCAGAUAUUUAGAUAAUCGAUAAAUUCCCUUAUGAAACAAAAAUGGAAUGAUAUAGACAUCAUAUGUUCAUACUAUAAAAACUGUAUAUGUAAAAUGAUUUGUUGUGCUGAAGCACAAUGGCACCACUUCUUUAGUGGUGAUGGGAGAUUGGGGAACAUCCAUAACGAUCUCCGUUACAAUUAGAACUAGUUAUUUUUUGUUUCUGUUGUGAUUCACAGGGUUGGUAUAUAUUCUGUGUACAUGUAUGUGUAGAACAGUAAAAUAAUAUUCGAGAGUAAGAGUUUACAAGUACAUUACGAAUACUAUUUAGGAUUUCUUCAUCUUCCAUACUUUUUCCGUCUCUUUGAUGUAGGUGUUGGCAUUGCUAGAUCAUUUUCCUAUUAACAUAUAUAUGGGUUUCAGUAAGACUAUAUGUGUGUAAAACUUUGCCUAUUUAUGUAUAGGCAGAAUGUUAUUGUAUAUUAAAUGUUUUUGAUCUACAGUAUCAAAAUGUUGUUAUGUGGAAAAAUCUAUGGUGCUAUUAUUUUUACAAAAUUUGUAAUAGACAAGACAAUCCAGACAAGGUAUGUAGUAUGGUUGGGAAGAUAUACUUGAUUUGUACGCAUUAAUGUAAAAUAUUAUGUAUAUCAUGUUUUGAUGCAUUCCAACAUUUCAUUUUGUGAUGCAUUAAUAAGUAUUUAUAUUCAAUGAAUAUUUCAAAGGGGCAUGGAUGCAAUUUGAGCUGAGAAUUCUCAAAUUUUACUUUUCUCAUUGCUUAACUAAGGUACAGUGUAAUUUUAAUGGUCAACCAAAAUUUGAGUGUCAGUUGUUGAACAGCACUCACAAUCAUUUGUUAUGUAAACAAGACCAGAGCCAUGUUUUCGUAUACUUAUAGAUUGCUAAAUAGAUUUAUUUAUUUUAUCUUGUUUAAUGUAUCUCAAGAUAAUUUUUCACUCAUAGAAAAUAUGUUGAAAACAAAAUGAGAUGUGACAAAUUCUAGAAACUGUUUAAUUGUGUUCAGAAUUAACUUGUAAUAUGAAAAAUCUGCUUUAACCAAAUCUUUUACAAGUAUAUUUAAUCUAUAUGAACAAAAACAUGACACAAGCCUUGUUUACAUAACAAGGACUUGUGACCUCUGUAUCUUCCAUGUACCUCGACAACUGACAUUCGAAUUUUUGCUGACCAUUAGAAAUACCUUCAAUGUUAAACAAUGUAAACAUUGAAACUGGAAAAAUAAAAGUUUGAAAAUUUUCAACCAAAACCGUGUCCAUGCCCUUUUAAUAGUCAUCAUUUAAGAAGAAAAAAUGAUUCUAUCUUUUUUUCUGUAUACCGUCCAAACCUUUAGUAUUAGUAAUAGAUAACCUGUUUUAUUUCAAGAAAAAAAUGCCUGACAAAUAUAAUCCCUAACAUGUUUGCCAUCUCUUUGAUCCCCAACAUCAAAACUAACAUCCUCCUGGUUUACAAAUAAUUCGUCUACAUCUAAGAUAUCAUUUCUUUCAAUACCAAUGUUGUGCAAGACUGCACAGGCCAAAGUGAUACUACAUGCCUUGUCUGGAGUUGUGCGUAGGCCAGUGGACAAACAUGAAAAUCGUUUCUUAAGAAUUCCAAAAGUCUGUUCAAUGAGAACUCUUGUUUUAGCAUGGCAGUUGUUGAAUUUGACUUCUGCUGGAGUGGAGGGAACAGGAUAUGGCGUCAUAAGAUAGGGCUUGCAGGGGUAUCCUGAGUCACCAAGAAGGAAACCUUUGUAUUGUCCUGUUGAUAUAGAAAAAAAUAUAGUACCAUCAGUCUAAUGUAUUGGUACUAUCUCAAAGCCUAGAAAAUUCUUAAUGAUAUAUACCAUUGUCAAAGGCAACAGAGAUACGGCUGUCUCUAAAUAUCCUACUGUCAUGUACGCUUCCUGGCCAUUUCGCCACACAGUUUAGGAUCCUAUACUUAGCAUCACAUAUCAUCUGAAAUUGUUAUUUUAAAAGGAAUUUAAAUUAUCAUUGCAAAUCCAGAUUUAACUGUCAGUUUAUUGGACAAUAAUUUAUGUCAUAUUUGUUUGGUAAUGGUCUUCUAUGCUAUUACAUUCAAAUUAGAUGUAUGAGCUUGCAUGCAAAAUGUUUGAACCAUCAUAUAGGUUAAAUCCUGAGAUGUAUAUAGGAAGUUUUUGAAUACCUGGUUACAUGUAUUUGUAUAAUUAAUCAAAAGUUUUAAUUCAUCAUCUUUGCUAGCCAAGUGUCCGAUUUACUUACUCUCAUGAGAGUAAGAGAAUCGGACAUUUGGUAAGCGAAGAUGGUAUUUUAUGGACAUUACUCUAGUGUUUCAGUGUGUUCCUGUAUUAGCAAUAUGGUGAUAAAAUUGUUGUGUUAAAUACCACCAGGUAUUAUUUGUUAUGUUUCGCUCAUGUGAACUGCUGGCUAGUGUGAGCUUUUCAGUCUAUCUAUGUUGUCUUCAUCAUUGUUGUCAUCUUUGACAUUCCAUAUUUUGAUUGAUUGUUUGUUGUUUUUGAAAUAGUUAGCCAUUAUACAGUAGUAUUUAUUAAGCAUAAAACUUCAAGUUAUGAAAACAUGUUAUAUUGUGUAAAUUAAGACUUGUUUAACUAGUUGCCCAUCUUCACAGAUGAGCAAUGUGGCCCAUAGGCCCUGUUGUGGCAUAAAUGAAAUUAUUAAUACAUUAUCAAAAAUCAUA